rnacentral:lncRNA from 1 species
CAGGGCCACCCUUGAGGCAUAUGGAGGUUCCCAGGCUAGGGGUCCAAUAGGAGCUACAGUUGCUGGCCACAGCCACAGCCACAGCAAUGCAGGAUCCAAGCUGUGUCUGAGACCUACACCACAGCUCAUGGCAACAUCAGAUCCUUAACCCACUGAGUGAGGUCAGGGAUCGAACCCGCAACCUUGUGGUUCCCAGUUGGAUUCCUUUCCACUGCGCCACGACAGGACCUUCAAAGACCACUAAUGUCUUGAGGAAGACAGGGAAGCCCUGUCCCAGUUUUCUGUGUUGAUAGAGGUGGAGAGUUCCAUUUGACAAGGGAGGGCAUCUUUCUGAUGUGCAGAAGUCAGAUGAAGGUGUAAGUUCUCUAACAGCCGUGAAUACAGGAAAUAGUGACUGGUGUUGUCUGCCAUUCCCGAGAGUCACACCCAGGAAGUACCCCCCCACACCCCACCCCACCCCCCCAGCAUAGGUCUGCCCUGGGCCCUGAAGUGAAGGUUCUUUCUGCCCCAACUGCUUAAGGAAGCUGUGGGAUACUGUUAAGAACAGAAGGAGGGGCCUUGAAUUUGGGAGGAAUCAUCCUGGAUGGCCCAGGUAAAAAUGGCCACUGCAUUGACCACCCUCAUAUAGGUCCUGAAGGUGACUGACCUUAUCCCAACAUGGCAGAUAUGGGAGAGCAGCAGGCUUGAGGCAGAGGAGGUUCUGGCUGUCGUGGGCAGUGUUCCAGCAAGCCCAGUCACUGAUGAUGGAGUCACGUGUGUUAAGAGUCUAGGUCUCUGUCAAGGCCAAGGAGUAGGGAGGUGAAGCAGCAAAGGUGAUCUGAAGGUGCUCCAGAAUUUCCUCAAGUUUACAGUAGAAGGUAAGACAACCAGGCUGUUCCUGAAGGCCGAGACCAGAUGUGGCGGUAGAAGCUGAGUUCCUCCUGCAGGGGCUCCAGAGCUUUUCCUCAGCAGUGGAAGAAAGCCAAAUCCCUGGACAUUCUCAGUGAAAAUUCUCCAGGAAGUCAUUACUGCAGCUAUUAUGACAGUUAUAAAAACUUUCUGCCCCCACACAGCCACUUUCCAGGGUGUAGCACAACCCUGGAGGCUGAGCAGGACCCACUCCUGCUUCCACACCUCAGAGACCCAAACUUUGUCCCACCUCUAAGCAACUAGCUUUUUGCCUUUUCUCAAACAUGGAUAAAGCACCUUUCUGGUUAUCUCUCUAAACCCUGGAGGAUCCUGUUGACGCUGCAUUUGUAUGACUCAAGAAGGCUACAUACAUGACUUUUAGCUGAAGAUUCUCUGUCAGAGUCCACACUGAAGACAAGCCAGAGCGUUCUUUGGGUUAAGAAAGAGCAGGACUUUUAACUCUCCCUGUAAUAAAGAGUCUGACUUAAUAUUUGGUGUUUGACUGCUUUUUCAUGCCUGGCUUUGCUGAAGUAUAAUUGAUUUUAAAACUGCAUAAUUAAUAAAUACAAAUAGAUGAGUUUGGACAUAUGUAGACACUUGUGUGACCAUCAACGCAGUCCAGGUAAUAAACAUAUCCAUCAUCUCCAAAAGUUUCCUUGUGUCCCUUUUAUUUGUGUGUGUGUGUGUGUGUGUGUGUUAUGUUACACAAUACCUUAUUGUUAACUAUAGGCACUCUGCUUUAUGGCAGAUCUCUGUAACAUACUCAUCUUGUGUAGCUCUGUAUCCAUUAAAUAUUCCAUAUUCCUUGACCCCUAACCCCUGAUAACCAAUACUAUAUUGUCUACUUCUAUACUUUUGCCUAUUUUAGGUACUGCCUAUGCAAAAUCAUGCCAUAUUUGUUAUUCUGUGACUGGCUUAUUUCACCGAGCAUAAUGUCUUAAAAGUGUAUCCAUGUUAUCACAAAUAAGAGUUCAUCCUUUUAAAGGCUGCAUAAUAUUCCACUGUUAUGCAUAUACCACAUUUCCCUUAUCUACCCACCUGCUGAUGGAUAUUUGGGUUGUAUGAAUCACACUGCAGUGAAUAUACAGGUGCCAAUAUCUCUUUGAGGUCCUAAUUCCAAUGCUUUUGGAGAUAUACCCAUAAGUGAGGUUGCUAAAUCAUUUGAUAUACUCAUUCAGGACCUACAAAUCCUGACAAGGGAGCUCACAAAGAGAUGGGCUAUCACUCCCACACAGUAAAAGACCCUGCCACCUUGGUUAAGUUCCUAAAAAUUAUAUUUGGGAACGCAAGUGUUGCUCUAUUCCCAACACUGUCAAGAAACAGCUAUUGACCCUUUCAGCACUCACACCAUUAAAGCAAGUCCAAUAUCUAUUAAGCCUUUUGGGUUCUGAUGCCUUUACAAAUUUGCCUUAAGCCCAUUUCUGUUGUUACUCACAAACCAUCCCUCUUUUAAUGUGGCCCCUUACAGCAAACUGCAAUAUAAUAGGCACUCCUAUCAGUGCACAAAUUUUCCUUCACUGUAGAGACUUUAGCAAACUUCCCUCAGGCCUCUAAGUGUCUCUGGUCCUCUAUGUGGCCAAAAGUUGCCCAUAGACUUCUGAUGCAUAUUGCUCUCCUCUGGCCCUGUGUUAUAAAUGCCAUUAGAGCAGUAGAGAGCAAUUACUGGCUGCAUCCUAGGCUCUUCUGGAAAUAGAGACUGACUCUCACAGACCCUAAGCCCAUGACCCUCCAUACCUAGCUGUCUAUCAUUCCUUAUGUCAUGUAAACAGCACUUGCAGGUUUGGCAUGGACAAUGAGGUCUCUUUUCUAAGAUAAAAAUCUUUAUAAACUUUAAGCACAAAGUCUGGUCUAAACAAUACUCAACAAAGCUAUUACUGUUAUUAUUGGACGAAGACCAUAGACAUAGCCAGUGUUCCCAGUUGGGAGCCUGGUGCUCCCAGUCCCCCAGCCAGUGCCCUUUCAUCAAGCACCCCUCUCAGAGAUGCCUCCCCAGAGACCAGGGGACAGUACCAGAUGACAGAUUCAAUUCCAGGAAGCCAUGUAUCUGUAUAUCCAUUACACAGAAAGGAGCCUUGUGGUCCUGUUAGAGCCUUUAUGUUCAAUAGUCACUGACUUUAAGAAGACAUUAAUUGCAUCGUGUUGACAGUGGCUGGCUUCUCCAGCCACUGUCAGGUACCAAGUACUGAUCACAUCUCUGCAACUGAGGGGACAGGGGCAGAGGAGUGCAUGUAAGAGAAGGAUAUGCUGCAUGUGUAGUUCUUGUGUAGAAAAAUAUUGCAUAUUUAAUGUACCAUAAAUACAAAUACAAAUCAUGUAUAUAUUUCUUAAAUGGUUCCCAAGAUUUCCCACUCUCAUCCCCUCAACUGUGCUAGGAUAGCGUUUACUCCUGUGAUUAGAUUAUGUAACUUUCAGAAAGGGAGAUUAUUGGAAGGGCCUAACAUAACCACGUGAACCCUUUCAAAGCAGUUUUCUCCAGCGGGUGGAGAAAGAGGAAGAGAGAUUGUGGAAACAUGAGAGAUUCUUCACGGCUGCAGUGGAGGGACCCUGGCUUAGGACUUGAGAGCGGCCUCUAGGAGUUGGAUAUUGUCUCUGGCUAACAUGUUAGCAAGACCUGUAACCACAAGGAACUGAAUUCUUCCAACAAUAAAAAUCUCUUUAGAGGAGGACCCCAAGCUCCAGAUCAAAGUGCUGUCAGCUGACACCUUGAUGUCAGCUUUGUGAGGCCCUGAUCAGAUAAUCUAGCCAUGCUAUGUUAAAUUUCUCACCUAUAGAACUGUGGGGCAAUAAAUGGGUGCUACAUUAAAGUUACAAAGUUUAAGCCACAAAACUUGUUAUGAACCCCCGACACGUUUAAAGAAAUAACAUUUUUUUAUGAAAAAAAAAAACCCUUCUAUUUUCUAAAACAAAAAAAAUGUGGUGCAAUAAACAUGCUUUAUAAACAUACGAUUUAUAAGUAUUUCUCUAAUUUUGUGACAGCCUAAUUGCAGAUUUCUGUUCUAGUGUGGAAACUCAUUUCUCCUUUAACUUCUAGAUCUAAAGGAGAUCCAAGACCCAACUCCAGCUUGGUUGGCAGUUUUUUUCAGAAGGGCUGAAUGACAGAGUGGUUUCAGUGUUUCCUGUGCAGAGCAAUCGUUAUUCCCCAAGGGCAGGAAAGAAAGGGAAGCACCCUUUUAUUUGCCCUGGCUUCCUGCAAAGGGAGUUGCUGGGAAGCGGGUCUUUUGGAACCAGGGGUGAGAAUCCAAGUGAUUGAGCUGCAACAUGGUGGGUGCAAUAGUGUGGGUGGCUCACACUGUCUCUGCUGCCCCCUGUGACUCAGCUGUCCAGACCCUGCUUAACAGCUCUCUGGGUGGGCAGGACCUUAUAUCCUGACUCUAUUUAAUUGCCAUGCAUUCCCAGGGAUCCUGAACUUGCAGGAGGCAAAUGGCCCAGGAGUUGGGAGCCUCAACAGAGAUUUAAGCCCUGGAACAGGAGCCUCAUGUCAGGCUGCCUGUUCAGCUGCAGAUGACACAGAGAAGAACAGUGCAAUCCAGUCAGACCUGGUUACCUGUCAAUAGCCUUCACAUGCUUUAUCUCUGAAGACUUCUCUGAGUUCAGGCCAAUGGAAGAUGCUUCUAUACUCAUAACUGCAUUUUUGCAUAUAGCAUCAGUAGUGGUGCAAUUUCCUUUUUCUAUAAUCGUUGUUUGAGUUUCUCCCUGAAGGCCAUAAGCCACUUGAGGGUUGGAAUUGAACUUUAUUAUCUCUGUAUUCCUGAUUUCUUCUUUGCUGAAUCAUAAUAGGCACUCAACUCCCAGCACCACAGUAGACACUCAAUAAAUAAUUGUAGCAUGAAUGAAUAAGCAGCAUCACUUUAGAACCUACCUGGUGCCCUGGUGGGCAGGUCUCACUGUGUGUUUUCACAUACAUCAUCCACCCACACUUUGCUGCCUUCCUGGGUCAACAGCUCUGCUCCAGGCAGCCCCGCUCAUCGAUGCAAGCCUGUGGUCAACACAGAAGUCAUGCUUUUAUAGGCAGCCUGGGGUAGGCCCUCCUGGAUACAGUGGUUGUCUUCUGUUGCUACCCUCUUCAGUGAGUCAAAUUUCCUUUCUCAUUUUUAAUAAAUGUCAAAUGUCAGUUGCCUAACGAAGAAGCUGUGGGCAAAGAACAAAGUUCUGUGUGGAAAAUGUCAACUCCCUAUGUCCCCAAUGCAAAUAUUGGUAUUUACCUUAUGCUGGGAACCAGUACAAAAGCCUUAGAGCCUGCAGGUUUGACUUUACUCCCACACACUUAAGAGAGUCUGGUCACUGCAUAGGAAACCAUAUUAUGCUUGUGAAACAUGAGUCCUAGAGGGGUUAUUUGACCUCUAAAAGGUCACACAGCUAAUCAAGGGACAGAGUCUGGGCUCUUGAAACAAACUUGGGAAUCAUCCCCACCAAAAUCAUAGCCCCUCUCCCAUCCCGCUGUAUGACUUCAAGCAAGUCACCUGCAGUCCUGUUGCCUCUCUCCCCAAAACUGCUCUGAAGCAUUUCCAGCAAGAGAAUAUUCAGCAUUGGCUGAAUUCCUCCUCCACUCCACAUAAUUAUGGCAAAAUGUCUUGCAAAGGCAAUCUGUGCAAACUGUUGUCAGAAAAUUCUCCUUAUAUGGAGUCAAAAUCUAAGCAGCUUAUCCCCUGGUCACCUGCACGGUGAUGGAGAGUAAGUCUCAUCUAUACCCCUCUCUCUCAAGUCCCUAUGCUUCUCCUGAAAAGACUCCUUCUUUGGAAAAUAUUUGAUUAUGAAAACAAUUUAUGUGGGGUAGGCCUGGAGAGGAGAAGCCGUAAUGUGGCUGGAGGCCAGGGUCACUGGGAAGGAGUUAGCCAAUACACAUUCCAUGCUGGUAAAAUGCCAAGGUCUUUUCAAAGCAGUCUAAUCUUAAUGUUCUAAUCUUAAUGUUCCAUCCAUCCUGUGUCAAGGCAUAACACAAACACACGCAUACCAACCAUGGAACUUUUGGUAAGAGUUUACCAAACACAAUGGCCUUGUGCUGGUAAUGUUUUAUGAAAUUAAAGGAAAACAGACUUUAAUCUGUAGCAGCAGAUUGUGCAUGUGUGUGGGGGGGCAGAUUGUGCAUGUGUGUGGGGGGGCAGGUGCCAGAGAGGACAGAAAUACAGAGUUGAAUGAGGCGGAGAGUCCAGGAAGAACAAAAGAUCUGAGAUAUAAGCCUCUGGGAAUUCACAGACAUUGUGAGGAAGUCUCUGGAUCUCUAUAGGAUUUGGGGUGUACACACACCUAUUUUAUUUGACCCAUUUCCCCUGUCUUCACCCCCCAUGAUCAAUCUUUUUUUUUCUGUUUCUAUGAGUUUUUUUUUAAUUCCACAUAUAAGUGAAAUUCUACAAUAUUUGUCUUUUCCCUAUCUGACUUAUUUCACUUAGUACAAGCCCCCAAGUUUCAUCCAUGUUGUUCCAAAUGACAAGUUUUUCUCCUUUUUUAAUAGCUGUAUAUAUUCCAUUGUGAUAUAAAUAUAUACCAUAUCUUCUCUAUCCAUUCAUCUGUCAAUAGACACUUAGGCUGUUUCCAUAUCUUAGCUGUUGUAAAUAGUGCUGCAGUAAACACAGGGGUGCA